UAGCUAAGGAACAUUUUUCCAUCUAAGAGGCGGACAGGUGUCGAGAAAAGACUGGAGCGUGGUAAAUGAAGAGAAAGGAAAAAAAGGCUUUUUUUUUAAAGUCUUUUUCGCGUUCUGUCUCUCUCUCUCUCGCGCGAUUUCAUCGAGAGAAUGAAAACCAGAGACUCAAAUCGGAGGUAUCGCCGUCGUUCCGGCGUUAGUUCAUCAUCUCCACCGCCGCACUUUCUGAUGCAUCCACUGCUCCUUUCGCUUCUAGGUUUCUCUACGGAUAUUUUAAGAUUAGAGAGGUCUUGGAGUUAAGUGAACUAUUGGCCUUCGAAUAAUUCUUCGGGUAUAUGUGAAGCAGAAAACAUCAGUGGAAGUGAAGAUGAAGAUGAAGAUGAAGCUGGUGGAUCCCAAUCCUGAGCAUCAAAGAAGAAAGAGAAUAAGCGACAAGAGCGGGAAGCACAAAGACGAUCUAGCAUAUGUAAAAUCGAGGUUUUUGGACCUUGAAGAUGACUUUUAUGUUUAUAUGUGAUCAAGAGUUUAGAUUGGUUUAAAAUCAAAAUCAUUGGGGAUUUCGAUUUUGUUGAAGUCUGUUAAUUGUGAGCUUUUAUCCCAACUUUUGGAUGUUGUUUGGGAUUCCAAAAACUCUUUUAAUAGAUUUUGACUCUUGUCACUUAUUCACUUGUUCUCACAAACUCAUACCACACACGUUUAUACUCAUCCAAAAAUUGAUCUUUCUACUUAA